CUUUAUUGUUUUAUCUGGGCUCUCUGAAUUGGCAAAUUUGGCAUCCGGGAAGAAAUGGCCAGGGACUGCUAAAUGCCUGAUAUCUGGAGUAAGGACUGAUUUCAGAGUCACUUCAUUUGACCUCAGGAAGGUACAGCUAAUUAGCCAGCCAUGAAGAACUGAGGAGACAGGUCUACACAUCAAGUCUCUAGGAUGUCCUUCCGCGAUCUUGAAGGUCUUUAAGAAAAGUGGACUGUAACUGUGAGGUCAGGCUCUGAACACCUGCA